rnacentral:rRNA from 1 species
UACAGAGGUCCCAAGCGUUGUUCGGAUUCACUGGGCGUAAAGGGUGCGUAGGUGGUGAGGUAAGUCGGAUGUGAAAUCUCCGAGCUCAACCCGGAAACUGCCAUUGAUACUAUUAGUCUUGAAUUUUGUUGAGGUAGGCGGAAUAAGUCAUGUAGCGGUGAAAUGCAUAGAUAUGACUUAGAACACCAAUUGCGAAGGCAGCUUACUAAGCAAAUAUUGACGCUGAGGCACGAAAGCGUGGGGAUCAAACAGG